rnacentral:rRNA from 1 species
CCAAUAGCGUAUAUUAAAGUUGUUGCAGUUAAAAAGCUCGUAGUUGAAUUUCGGGAUCAGUACGCUGGUCGUGCCUUGGUAUGUACUGGUGUUACUGGUUCCUACCUUCUGACGAACCGUCAUGUCAUUAAUUUGGUGUGGCGGGGAAUCAGGACUGUUACUUUGAAAAAAUUAGAGUGUUUAAAGCAGGCUCGCGCUUGAAUACAUUAGCAUGGAAUAAUGAAAUAGGACGUUUGAUCCUAUUUUGUUGGUUUCUAGGAUUGACGUAAUGAUUAAUAGGGAUAGUUGGGGGCAUUAGUAUUCAAUUGUCAGAGGUGAGAUUCUUGGAUUUAUUGAAGACUAACUACUGCGAAAGCAUUUGCCAAGGAUGUUUUCAUUAAUCAAGAACGAAAGUUAGGGGAUCGAAGACGAUCAGAUACCGUCGUAGUCUUAACCAUAAACUAUGCCGACUAGUGAUCGGAUGAUGUUAAUUUUUUAAUGACUCAUUCGGCGCCUUACG